rnacentral:rRNA from 1 species
AGUAACGCGUGAGGAACCUGCCUCAAAGAGGGGGACAACAGUUGGAAACGACUGCUAAUACCGCAUAAGCCCACGGCUCGGCAUCGAGCAGGGGGAAAAGGAGCAAUCCGCUUUGAGAUGGCCUCGCGUCCGAUUAGCUAGUUGGUGAGGUAAUGGCCCACCAAGGCAACGAUCGGUAGCCGGACUGAGAGGUUGAACGGCCACAUUGGGACUGAGACACGGCCCAG